UAAAAGGGAUGGGUUUAACCUGCAAGUCGAACGAUGACGGUGGUGCUUGCACCGCCUGAUUAGUGGCGAACGGGUGAGUAACACGUGAGUAACCUGCCCUCCACUUCGGGAUAACCUCGGGAAAUCGUGGCUAAUACCGGAUACGAGCACUCAUCGCAUGGUGGGUGUUGGAAAGAUUUAUCGGUGGGGGAUGGACUCGCGGCCUAUCAGUUUGUUGGUGAGGUGAUGGCUCACCAAGACGAUGACGGGUAGCCGGCCUGAGAGGGCGACCGGCCACACUGGGACUGAGACACGGCCCAGACUCCUACGGGAGGCAGCAGUGGGGAAUAUUGCACAAUGGGCGAAAGCCUGAUGCAGCGACGCCGCGUGGGGGAUGACGGCCUUCGGGUUGUAAACCCCUUUCAGUAGGGAAGAAGCGAAAGUGACGGUACCUGCAGAAGAAGCGCCGGCUAACUACGUGCCAGCAGCCGCGGUAAUACGUAGGGCGCAAGCGUUGUCCGGAAUUAUUGGGCGUAAAGAGCUCGUAGGUGGCUUGUCGCGUCUGCCGUGAAAACCCGAGGCUCAACCUCGGGCGUGCGGUGGGUACGGGCAGGCUAGAGUGUGGUAGGGGAGACUGGAACUCCUGGUGUAGCGGUGAAAUGCGCAGAUAUCAGGAAGAACACCGAUGGCGAAGGCAGGUCUCUGGGCCAUUACUGACACUGAGGAGCGAAAGCAUGGGUAGCGAACAGGAUUAGAUACCCUGGUAGUCCAUGCCGUAAACGUUGGGCACUAGGUGUGGGGGACAUUCCACGUUUUCCGCG
rnacentral:rRNA from 1 species